rnacentral:sRNA from 1 species
ACGGAGGAAGGAGACUACCAGGUAAAACUACGCAACCUGGUGCGUUUCCUCGAGAACGGGGAUAAGGCCAAAGUCACGCUGCGGUUUCGCGGUCGUGAGAUGGCUCACCAGGAGAUCGGCAUGGAGCUGCUCAAGCGAGUAGAAGCCGAUCUUGCGGAACUUGGCGGUGUCGAGCAGUUUCCGAAAAUGGAAGGCCGGCAGAUGACCAUGGUUAUUGCCCCGAAAAGGAAGAAUGGCUAGCGGCCCGUGAAUGCCCUGGAUCAUUUAAUUUGAUGUGAGUUCCAGCUGUUUAUUCGCGGGAAGCCCCAAAAGGGAGCCGUCGGA